rnacentral:rRNA from 1 species
CCUACGGGAGGCAGCAGUGAGGAAUAUUGGUCAAUGGGCGCGGGCCUGAACCAGCCAAGUAGCGUGAAGGAUGACUGCCCUACGGGUUGUAAACUUCUUUUAUAAAGGAAUAAAGGGAUGCACGUGUGCCUGUUUGCAUGUACUUUAUGAAUAAGGAUCGGCUAACUCCGUGCCAGCAGCCGCGGUAAUACGGAGGAUCCGAGCGUUAUCCGGAUUUAUUGGGUUUAAAGGGAGCGUAGAUGGGUUGUUAAGUCAGUUGUGAAAGUUUGCGGCUCAACCGUAAAAUUGCAAUUGAUACUGGGAGUCUUGAGUACAUUUGAGGUAGGCGGAAUGCGUGGUGUAGCGGUGAAAUGCUUAGAUAUCACGCAGAACUCCGAUUGCGAAGGCAGCUUACCAAGC